rnacentral:rRNA from 1 species
GACGAACGCUGGCGGCGUGCUUAACACAUGCAAGUCGAACGAUGAAGCCGGAGCUUGCUCUGGUGAAUUAGUGGCGAACGGGUGAGUAACACGUGAGUAACCUGCCCUUGACUCUGGGAUAACUGCGGGAAACUGUAGCUAAUACCGGAUACGACCCUCGGAGGCAUCUCCUGGGGGUGGAAAGAAUUUCGGUCAAGGAUGGACUCGCGGCCUAUCAGCUAGUUGGUGAGGUAAAGGCUCACCAAGGCGACGACGGGUAGCCGGCCUGAGAGGGCGACCGGCCACACUGGGACUGAGACACGGCCCAGACUCCUACGGGAGGCAGCAGUGGGGAAUAUUGCGCAAUGGGCGGAAGCCUGACGCAGCAACGCCGCGUGCGGGAUGACAGCCUUCGGGUUGUAAACCGCUUUCAGCAGGGAAGAAGCCGCAAGGUGACGGUACCUGCAGAAGAAGCACCGGCUAACUACGUGCCAGCCGCCGCAGUAA